AGAAUAAUUACCAGCUUGGGUGCCAUAUCCCCCGGAUGGGAUGGCUCAAAGGCGAAGCCGGUGCAUAGUCCGGCGCUGUCGCGCAACUGUAAGGGAAUCCAAUUCCCCAGCCAGGUCGCCCGCCCAAGUUGGGUUCACUGA
rnacentral:ncRNA from 2 species